rnacentral:rRNA from 1 species
GACGAACGCUGGCGGCGUGCUUAACACAUGCAAGUCGAACGGCAAGGCCCUAGCUUGUUGGGGUACACGAGUGGCGAACGGGUGAGUAACACGUGGGUAACCUGCCCUGCACUUUGGGAUAAGCUUAGGAAACUGGGUCUAAUACCGGAUAGGACCGCACCGUGAGGGGGUGGUGGAGAGUCUUGCGGUCUGGGAUGGGUGCGCGGCCGAUGAGCUGGUUGGUGGGUUGAUGGCCUACGAACGCGGCGAGGGGUAGCCGGCCUGCGAGGGUGGACGGCCACAUUGGGACUGAGACACGGCCCAGACUCCUACGGGAGGCAGCAGUGGGGAAUAUUGCACAAUGGGAGGAAGUCUGAUGCAGCGACGCCGGGUGGGGGAUGACGGCCUGCGGGUUGUAAACAGCUUUCGCCAUCGACGAAGCUUUUCUGACGGUAGAUGGAGAAGAAGCACCGGCUAACUACGUG